rnacentral:rRNA from 1 species
CCUACGGGAGGCUGCAGUGGGGAAUAUUGGGCAAUGGGCGCAAGCCUGACCCAGCAACGCCGCGUGAAGGAAGAAGGCUUUCGGGUUGUAAACUUCUUUUAUCAGGGACGCAGCAAGUGACGGUACCUGAUGAAUAAGCCACGGCUAACUACGUGCCAGCAGCCGCGGUAAUACGUAGGUGGCGAGCGUUAUCCGGAUUUACUGGGUGUAAAGGGCUUGUAGGCGGGAAUGCAAGUCAGAUGUGAAAACUAUGGGCUCAACCCAUAGCCUGCAUUUGAAACUGUAUUUCUUGAGUGCUGGAGAGGCAAGCGGAAUGCCGGGUGUAGCGGUGAAAUGCGUAGAUAUACGGAGGAACACCAGUUGCGAAGGCAGAUUGCUGGACAUUAACUGACGCUGAUGCGCGAAAGCGUGGGGAGCAAACAGGAUUAGAUACCCCUGUAGUC